UGGUUAGUGGUUAAUAGCUGCCUUCCAAGCAGUUGACCCGGGUUCGAUUCCCGGUCGACCAA
rnacentral:tRNA from 1 species